rnacentral:lncRNA from 1 species
CUGUAAGCAGAUCACAUCUGCUCUCCAUUCCUGAAUCACACUAUUUAUCAUCCUCCUUUUAUCCCUACAAUUUAAACCCCUCACAUUCCAUGAAAUUAUGGAAACAUUCAUCAUAUAUCUAAAGCCUUUCUCUUCCCCCUAUUUCUUGUGCCUUUGCUUUGGAAUUUCAUAUCAAUCAUUAAACCUUUGAGCUCCUGUAUGCCUUUGACUUUGGUGCUUUCCCCUGUUUUC